rnacentral:rRNA from 1 species
AGCGAACGCUGGCGGCAGGCCUAACACAUGCAAGUCGAACGAACCUUUCGGGGUUAGUGGCGGACGGGUGAGUAACACGUGGGAACGUGCCUUUAGGUUCGGAAUAACUCAGGGAAACUUGUGCUAAUACCGAAUGUGCCCUUCGGGGGAAAGAUUAAUCGCCUUUAGAGCGGCCCGCGUCUGAUUAGCUAGUUGGUUGAGGUAAUGGCUCACCAAGGCGACGAUCAGUAGCUGGUCUGAGAGGAUGAUCAGCCACAUUGGGACUGAGACACGGCCCAAACUACUACGGGAGGCAGCAGUGGGGAAUCUUGCGAAAUGGGCGAAAGCCUGACGAAGCCAUGCCGCGUGAAUGAUGAAGGUCUUAGGAUUGUAAAAUUCUUUCACCGGGGACGAUAAUGACGGUACCCGGAGAAGAAGCCCCGGCUAACUUCGUG